UCGAACCCUAAAUUUGCUCCGCUCGUUAUCACGCAGGUAACCGCCGUCGAUGGCAGAUCCAUCUUCACAAUGCCACAGACGGCGCCGUCCUUGUCGGCUCGUCGAUGGCAUAUGCUUCUCCGUCGUCUUCAAUUAUUAUUGUUAUCAUCAUUCAUCACAUCUGCCUCGAUUUGCCUCAUCAUCUACAUCUUCUCACGGCUUCUUCGCCUCCGACAUCCUUCUCGGCAAGAUAUUGAAUCAGGAGAGAUUAAGAAACAAUAUAUUGCAAGGGUAAAGGGAGUAUUUCCUGAAACAGAGGAUGUUGGUAGGCAGCGGUGACUCGCUAUCGACAGGUCGAGGAAGACGGUGGCAGAGCGCGAUUAACGGCCGACGAAGGUGGAGAUGUGCGCUGUUCAAGGGUGCAGGGCGGAGAAAUUAAAGGAAGGUGAAGGAGGACGUAUGGGAAAGAGAAGAAGAAAAGGAAAGAAAAAGAAGAAGAAGAAGAACGAAGGACGAAGAAGAACAAGAAGGACGAAGAAGAAAAGUGAAUAAGAAGAACAGAGAAAACGAAAUAGAAGAUAUGAAUUGGACGGCGC